AUUGAACGCUGGCGGCAGGCCUAACACAUGCAAGUCGAACGAGUGGCGGACGGGUGAGUAAUGUCUGGGAAACUGCCCGAUGGAGGGGGAUAACUACUGGAAACGGUAGCUAAUAACGCAUACCAUCGGAUGAGCCCCGAUGGGAUUGGCUAGUAGGUGGGGUAACGGCUCACCUAGGGGACGAUCCCUAGCUGGUCUGAGAGGUUGACCACACAAACUGGACCUGGGCAACGGUCCAGACUCCUACGGGAGGCAGCAGUGGGGAAUAUUGCACAAGGGGCGCAAGCCUGAUGCAGCCAUGCCGCGUGUAUGAAGAAGGCCUUCGGGUUGUAAAGUACUUUCAGCGAGGAGGCGUUACUCGCAGAAGAAGCACCGGCUAACUCCGUGCCAGCAGCCGCGGUAAUAC
rnacentral:rRNA from 1 species